AGGCGGUUUUUUAAGUCUGAAUGUGAAAGCCCCCGGCUCAACCGGGGAGGGUCAUUGGAAACUGGGGAACUUGAGUGCAGAAGAGGAGAGUGGAAUUCCACGUGUAGCGGUGAAAUGCGUAGAGAUGUGGAGGAACACCAGUGGCGAAGGCGACUCUCUGGUCUGUAACUGACGCUGAGGAGCGAAAGCGUGGGGAGCGAACAGGAUUAGAUACCCUGGUAGUCCACGCCGUAAACGAUGAGUGCUAAGUGUUAGGGGGUUUCCGCCCCUUAGUGCUGCAGCUAACGCAUUAAGCACUCCGCCUGGGGAGUACGGUCGCAAGACUGAAACUCAAAGGAAUUGACGGGGGCCCGCACAAGCGGUGGAGCAUGUGGUUUAAUUCGAAUCAACGCGAAGAACCUUACCAGGUCUUGACAUCCUCUGACAAUCCUAGAGAUAGGACGUCCCCUUC
rnacentral:rRNA from 1 species